rnacentral:rRNA from 1 species
AUUGAACGCUCGCGGGAUGCUUUACACAUGCAAGUCGAACGGCAGCGCGGACUUCGGUCUGGCGGCGAGUGGCGAACGGGUGAGUAAUGUAUCGGAACGUGCCCAGUAGCGGGGGAUAACUACGCGAAAGCGUAGCUAAUACCGCAUACGCCCUACGGGGGAAAGCAGGGGAUCGUAAGACCUUGCACUAUUGGAGCGGCCGAUAUCGGAUUAGCUAGUUGGUGAGGUAACGGCUCACCAAGGCGACGAUCCGUAGCUGGUUUGAGAGGACGACCAGCCACACUGGGACUGAGACACGGCCCAGACUCCUACGGGAGGCAGCAGUGGGGAAUUUUGGACAAUGGGGGCAACCCUGAUCCAGCCAUCCCGCGUGUGCGAUGAAGGCCUUCGGGUUGUAAAGCACUUUUGGCAGGAAAGAAACGUAGCGGGCUAAUACCCCGUGGAACUGACGGUACCUGCAGAAUAAGCACCGGCUAACUACGUG